rnacentral:rRNA from 1 species
UGAUCAUGGCUCAGAUUGAACGCUGGCGGCAGGCCUAACACAUGCAAGUCGAGCGGUAGCGGGAAGAGCUUGCUCUUUGCCGACGAGCGGCGGACGGGUGCGUAACACGUAGGAAUCUGCCCGGUAGUGGGGGAUAGCCCGGAGAAAUCCGGAUUAAUACCGCAUACGCACUAGCUCUUUAAGAGCGGUGGAAAGCAGGGGAUCGGUUCGCCGACCUUGCGCUAUCGGAUGAGCCUGCGUCGGAUUAGCUUGUUGGUGGGGUAAAGGCCCACCAAGGCAACGAUCCGUAGCUGGUCUGAGAGGAUGAUCAGCCACACUGGGACUGAGACACGGCCCAGACUCCUACGGGAGGCAGCA